rnacentral:rRNA from 1 species
GCUUAACGCGAAGAACCUUACCUGGCCUUGACAUGCCACUAACGAAGCAGAGAUGCAUUAGGUGCCCGUAAGGGAAAGUGGACACAGGUGCUGCAUGGCUGUCGUCAGCUCGUGUCGUGAGAUGUUGGGUUAAGUCCCGCAACGAGCGCAACCCUUGCCAUUAAUUGCCAUCAUUUAGUUGGGCACUUUAAUGGGACUGCCGGUGACAAACCGGAGGAAGGUGGGGAUGACGUCAAGUCCUCAUGGCCCUUAUGGCCAGGGCUUCACACGUAAUACAAUGGUCGGUACAGAGAGUUGCCAAGCCGCGAGGUGGAGCUAAUCUCAGAAAGCCGAUCGUAGUCCGGAUUGUCUCUGCAACUCGAGAGCAUGAAGUCGGAAUCGCUAGUAAUCGCGGAUCAGCAUGUCGCGGUGAAUACGUUCCCGGGUCUUGUACACACCG